GUUAGGAAUAUUGGACAAUGGGCGCAAGCCUGAUCCAGCCAUGCCGCGUGUGUGAAGAAGGUCUUCGGAUUGUAAAGCACUUUAAGUUGGGAGGAAGGGCAGUAAGUUAAUACCUUGCUGUUUUGACGUUACCGACAGAAUAAGCACCGGCUAACUUCGUGCCAGCAGCCGCGGUAAUACGAAGGGUGCAAGCGUUAAUCGGAAUUACUGGGCGUAAAGCGCGCGUAGGUGGUUUUGUAAGUUGGAGGUGAAAUCCCCGGGCUCAACCUGGGAACUGCCUCCAAAACUGCAUGACUAGAGUACGGUAGAGGGUAGUGGAAUUUCCUGUGUAGCGGUGAAAUGCGUAGAUAUAGGAAGGAACACCAGUGGCGAAGGCGACUACCUGGACUGAUACUGACACUGAGGUGCGAAAGCGUGGGGAGCAAACAGGAUUAGAUACCCUAGUAGUCC
rnacentral:rRNA from 1 species